rnacentral:rRNA from 1 species
ACGAACGCUGGCGGCGUGCCUCAUACAUGCCAGUAGAACGCUGAAGAGAGGAGCUUGCUCUUCUUGGAUGAGUUGCGAACGGGUGAGUAACGCGUAGGUAACCUGCCUUGUAGCGGGGGAUAACUAUUGGAAACGAUAGCUAAUACCGCAUAACAAUGGAUGACACAUGUCAUUUAUUUGAAAGGGGCAAUUGCUCCACUACAAGAUGGACCUGCGUUGUAUUAGCUAGUAGGUGAGGUAAUGGCUCACCUAGGCGACGAUACAUAGCCGACCUGAGAGGGUGAUCGGCCACACUGGGACUGAGACACGGCCCAGACUCCUACGGGAGGCAGCAGUAGGGAAUCUUCGGCAAUGGGGGCAACCCUGACCGAGCAACGCCGCGUGAGUGAAGAAGGUUUUCGGAUCGUAAAGCUCUGUUGUAAGUCAAGAACGGGUGUGAGAGUGGAAAGUUCACACUGUGACGGUAGCUUACCAGAAAGGGACGGCUAACUACGUG